UACAGAGGGUGCAAGCGUUAAUCGGAAUUACUGGGCGUAAAGCGCUCGUAGGCGGGUGCCUAAGUCGAUUGUGAAAGCCCUGGGCUUAACCUGGGAACUGCAGUCGAUACUGGGCAUCUAGAGUAUGAUAGAGGAUAGUGGAAUUCCCGGUGUAGCAGUGAAAUGCGUAGAUAUCGGGAGGAACACCAGUGGCGAAGGCGACUUUCUGGAUCAAUACUGACGCUGAGGAGCGAAAGCGUGGGGAGCAAACAGG
rnacentral:rRNA from 1 species